rnacentral:misc_RNA from 1 species
AGAAAAGAACUUUAUAACUCAGACAAAUGUUCAAGAAUUUUCACGAGCUUAAAAGUCCAAUCUAUUUUGAGUACAAAUUAUACAAGAUACAUGUACAAUGCAUGUACGUAGUGACUAGUGCAACCAAAUAGAGCAAACUUAUACACAUAAUCCCUAAGAAAAUGCAGGAGUCACCCUUAAAACCUAGAUGUUUAUAGUAGCAUCCCACAGUCUAAGCAACCCAUUGCGUCCACCACUACAAAUCCUUUUCCUUUCAAGAUCAGAAGCCACACAUCGUACCAUUGCUGCUGUUUUCUGAGGAGUUCUGUAGAGCUGCCAUCCCGCCAUUUUUGAACCAGCACUAGAGAAGCCACCUAGCCUCUCUUGAGGACGGUGAAAGAGAGACAUUGAAUUAUCAGCAGCCCCUAUUCCUAACCAGUGUUCCCCAGCAUCAAUGGACAAUAUUGAGGCAGUAUGGAUAGUGACAUUCUUUAUACACCUUAUGCCGCCAUCAUCAUUUUCCCAGAACCGCAGAAGACCAUCGCUUGAACCUGUUAUUAUCCCUUUGUCCGCUGAGGAAUACUCCACGCAUAGAAUUGGACCAGCAUGGCAAGCUAGCACUGCAUCACAUUGUCCUCUAGAAACAGACCAGAUUCGUGCCGUCCAAUCAUCACUACCUGUUAUCACCGUGUCUCCCACCAUUCUAAUUGAUCUUAUCCAUUUGGUAUGUCCCAUAAGCUUGUGCAUUUGCCUCCCAGCACGAACAUCCCAAAUGUUUGCAACCGCAUCUCUGCCUGCAGCAGCUAAGACUCCUGUUGAGUCAUCAUACUCCAUGCAAAGAACAGCACCAGAGCAACGGCCUACCGUAGCAACACAAGUAUCUGUUCUUACAUCCCACAUCUUUACUGUCCCAUCAUGGGCAGCAGUAAGGACA